GCUUUCAUCGGUUUGUUCCUGCCUCUGACCUUUGACACAGCCCAAACUUCAAUCAGAUCUUCAGAAACUGGCUUCUUCUCUGUACAUCAAAGGCACAGACAGGCUGCUGGGAGCUGGGGGUGCUCGGCAUCUAGGAAAUGCCCUUGGUCACGCCUCCCGUCAUUUGCAGAGCCGUGUGAGACUAGAUCCCACAGCCGCCAGCAACAUGCGGCUGUCAGAUUACGGAGGCAGAAGUUGGCACCAUGGAAAGACGUGCCAAGGACCAUGCAAGGCUGCUGGGGCAAACAGGAGGGCAAACUCAGGCUCUCAUAGAAGACGCGAGCUCCCACACUUCUGAGAAGCCAUCGGCCUUUGGGGGAAAAUCCAUCAAAAGUUAGCUCAGUGGUAAAGAGUAGGAAAGAGCCCUGAUGGGAUUGAAGGGAACAAACCAGACCCCAAGGCCUGCCUCGAGAACCCCAGGAUCCACGGGGCUCAGGGCAGCCCUUGCAGGGUGAGAGGGUCUAUGGCUGGUGGGGGAGCAGGUGCUGACCUGGAAGCCUGACGAUCACACUGCUUCCAGGGACCACAACCACACCCCGGAAAAAAAGCCCCAUCUGCUACCCACCCAGGGGUGAGGGGGCCUCCGUGCCCCGGGGUCCCUGCUGCCCAAGGAAGGGCUGAAGCGGGGUCCUCCUGGCCCUCACUUGUCUCCGCUGUGAGGAACAAAGGAGAAGCUCAUCCGCGAGAGAGAAAGGGGUUUUCUUUUUGACAGGGCGGUGGGGAGACAGAGACAGAGACGGACAGACAGACCAGGAGAGAAAGAAGGAAAGGGAGGGAGAUAGGGAGGGUCAGGAGAUGGAGGUUUGUUUCCUUCUGCUGCGCUGAUUCCACGAUUCUGGACGGCAGCAGGCCUCAGGACGGAUCUGCCUCCGCGAUCGUUGGCGGUUCCCCAGGACCUCUCUCCAGGAGCCGAGGGCAGGACGGCCCCGGAGGCGGCCGAGUGUCAAUUAGAGGCAAAUUAUAGCUUCCGAGCCCCCGUUCGUGCUGCCGAGAUUGGCGAUGUCUGGCGUAACCCGUCAAAGGCCGACUUCGCUCAACCAGAAGAGUCUAUUGUGUUCUGUUUCUCAAUAUAGAUUUAUGGAGAUGUUUUCAAUGCUAAGAAUAGAAUUCUUCAAGGUUUUUUGGGUGUUUUUUUUUUUUUUUGGAAUGCUGAAAAGGCUCUGGAAGGAGGAAAGACAUGAGUUUGCCAGGCUGUCCCCACGCAUCAGGAGGACGGCUGCACGGCGUCUCAGGCUCCGCGAGCAGGACAGCACCCACCGCGGACACAGGCAACCAAGGAGCCACAGGAGCCUGCCUUGCCGUGGCUUUCGAUCCGCUUCUCAAGGCCCUCCAGUGCCCGGUGGACUGGCCCUCGGCCUGGCGGGGAUUCAGAGGCCGGGCCAGCCGGAGCCCACUCAUCCACUCGUGAAUAGCUGCUGUUUCCUGAGUGCGUCCUGCAUGACAGCCUCCCACGGACCCUCCAGAGCCACAGCGGCACCCUCGCCCCAUUCCACAGAUGGCGAACUGAGGCUCACAGAGGCCGUGGGAAGAACAUGACCACAGACUCAAGCCUGGGAGUGGACGAGCCUCAGAAUCAGCGGAAUCAGGGGCAAAACCCAGGACCCAGGCCAUAGCCUUUCCUGAGAGAGAAGAACACAGGAGUCUUGGCUUGCCAUUCGGGAUUGCUGGUGGUGGAGGCGGCUUCCGGGACACCCACGGGCAACAGAGACCAGCGAUGAGGAGCUCCUCGGUGCAGACCAGUUUUGGAGCUGUGUGUGGUGGCAGCCUUCAGAUCAUGUCGUUGGCCAUGGGGUGACAGCCCUUUCCUGGUGUGAUGAGCAUUGUGAAAGGUUUUUUUCAACCCAUCUCUCAUUUCAAAUGCCUGUAUGAGCGCUGGCCCCUCAGCUUCCAGGUGAGAAAGCAGAACAUUGCAUCCUCUGCCCAUCUCCUCACAGGGCACCCUGGCUGGAGAUACAGCCUUAUCUCUGUGUCACCGUUUCCUGCAAAUGAUGCUCUCCAUCACCAUGCACAGUAGCCCUCGCCCCCCCCCCAGGCUAACCUGUGUGCCAGGACCCUGUCCAGGGCAUACACACCAAUGGCACAGCCUCCGCGCCAACCUCCACCCAGCUUUCUGGGUUUUUGCCACAACUCACCAGAGCAUCAUUGGCUACGAAAACUCUCUUCACCUGUAAGAUGGACCCAGGAGUCCUCAAGCUCUUCUCCCUCCAUGUGAAAUGCCACACACCACCAGCCGUUCACACUGAGCCCACCUGUGGUUCCAUCCAACCAUGCUGUAACAGGCAUGCUGGCGUGCCCACACACUGGGAACAGCAUUUACACACAUAGUGCGUCCCUGUGUGUCAUAAGGUAGACAGAUGGUGGCAAAUCGCCAUCCUGUCCUCUCUGAGCUUAACAGGUGCCUCUAAGUUGUUCAAACUUCGCAGCGGUGGCACGGCAUGCACUUCUUGCUGCUUUUGUCACUGUUUUGAGUGACACCUUCACUGCUUUGAUCUCUCUGUCCACAGUGACAGGAUUCAUCACGUGUCAGUUUUGUGCCAGGAAAUGUCAUUUAGGGACGAUGAGCUCCCUUGGUUGACCAGAGCAAUCACUCGGCUCUUCUGAAAAUGAACUGAAAGCUUCCAAGAUGUCACGUCACCGUUUGAAAGUCUCCCAAGAGAUCACACCUGGGGGCCCUGGGCAAUCAGAUCCCCAUCCCAGCAAGUUCCAGCGUGCGGACCCCACAGGCUCAGCCUGCCUGCCUCAGCGCUCGGAGAUCUGUAGGCUGUAUUUGUGCUGGAGUCCAGCACACACUAUGUACAUUGUUUCAGCUAUUCUAAGCUGUACUAUUUAUGUUCCCAUCUGUAUCACUAUGCUUAUGCUUUAAUAACUACUUUUAAGUGUUGAUCUAUCUUUAGGAACUGGAAGUAGAUUACACCACCACCCAAAAAAGUAAGGAGAAGCACAGAUGUUUACAAACAUAAACAAUAGCAUGCCAAUUACCAAAAAAAAAAAAAAUGUGAUGACCUGAGAGUAACAGCAUCCUGGUAAUUUCUGCUCAAGGGACUCAGCCGAGGCUCAUGGUUCAUACCCAUCCAUAAAUGCAUAGCAAUUACUAAAGUGUAAUGCGAUUUCUGUAAAAUGCAAUUUUGUUUGUUCUGCAAACAAACAAAAUUGUUCCACUGCUUUUUUUCCCCUUAAAACAACCAGUUCCCUGCGGACCCAGCAUGGUUGCCAGGAUCAGCCCAGGAUCAGCCCAGGAUCAGCAGCCCAAGAUGGAGAAACAUCCAUCUUCCCCCAAAGCUGGUGGCUUCAGAGCCUGGGCCAGGCGGCAAUUCAUCGGGAGCACCAGCAUGACCCCUAGUAAGAGAGCUGCUGAGCUGAGGAGCCAGAGACCCGGGUUCAAGUCCUCACACCCCGGGGGUGAGCCAACUGGGCUACCUCUCUCCGCCCCAUUUCCUCAGGUGACAACAGCGGUGGUACCUGCUUUAUUCUUGCAAGGAUGUGAUGAGAUAGCAUGUACAAAUGUCCCCACACAAAGUAAGCAUGUGUGGCUGGCUGCUAUCAUUUAUUAUGUAGCAAUCAACUGACAAUAAUAUUAAUCACUCAGAAACUCAUUUUGGGAGGAAAAUAGCUGCUUGGGAAAAUCUCUGAUUCUGAAGAACACCCAUUAUUUUGCUCUCAUGAGCCAGCGAGUUUCCUGCCCACUGAAAACGACCAGCUGGGAGGUCAGGCAGCGGAGCAGAGAUGGCACCUGCCCCUGCGAGUGACAAGAGCCUCCAUCCAACCAAGUGUUUCCGUUUGGAAAUCUGGGCGAAAAGGCAAUUUGCUGGAUGCAGCAGAUGAAACCACUCAUUGACGGUUUACUUUUGGCUUGGAGCAUGUUUCUUGCUUGUUAAAUAUUUAUAAUGUGUUUUUAUUUAUUAUUUAUGAGGCACUGGGGAAACACGCAGUCUGAGUUCAGCUUCGUGGAUGGGAUCCCUUUCAUUCCAGGGGCGGGCUUCGGGCCAGUGACACAUGAGCUUCAAGCCUCAGACCACAGACUGUCUCUCCCUCCAGCUCCUCCUCAGGGCAUCUCUGUACUUCCUGCUGUGGCUGCCACCUUCCAAGGAGAUGAGGGAACUGGGCCUCCACGUCCUCAAUGCUAUUCUCUGCUCAAGAUGCCUCCACUCUGGCUCCACUUGACCCCAUCCUUCCCAAGCCAGAAAAGAAAAGCAAACCUCUCCCCCAAAAGUGCCAAUGAGAUAACUUUUGUCUCAGGAGUAUUUGGAUCCCCAUCCUUCACCCAUCCAUUUAAAUUGAUUAAUUGACCUUUAAAAAUGUACCCAGAAAAUAAAUUGCCUAAUAAAAUAAAUUAUCUCAUAUUCAAUGA